AAGCCCCUAUCCUCUCCAUGUUGCAUGAAACCCGCUGGUAGGGAAUGGGCGCAGAAGGCAGCCAUGAUUCCCGGAGUUCAGAGGCAGCGUUCCGACCAGAUCCUGGUUCCAUUUAGCUCAUCACCUGCCACUCAGAAGGAUACAGCUGAGCACUGGCCAGAGCUUCAGUAAACCAACCGAGAGAGAGAGACAGCCAGCCAGCCAAUCCGGCCCCAAGCGGAACAAGCAGAAACAGCGAUGGGUUCCAUUUAACCCCUAAAU